rnacentral:lncRNA from 1 species
GGUAUUCUAGUUCAUUACCUCUCUCUUUUUAUUUUUUAGAUUUAGAUAAUUAAAUUAUGAACAUAGACAUUACUUUUAGGAGAGAGAUUUAGAGGCAAAAUUUAGCAUUAUCAACUUCAUCAGAUCUAUUUUUUUAUUUAGUAAAACUUUAUUUGAUAUAAGAUAUUUGAUUUAGUUAUUUGAAUUCAAAUUCAAUUAUGAGUAUUUAAAGUU